GCCUCCCUAUAGUAGUUGGAACUACGGGUGUGCACCACCACGCCUGGCUAAUUUUGGAAUUUUUAGUAGAGAUGGGGUUUCGCCAUGUUGCCCAGGCUGGUCUUGAACUCCUGACCUCAAGUGAUCUGCCCACCUCGGCCUCCCAAAGUGCUGGGAUAAUAGGCAUGAGCCACCGCGCCCGGCCCAGGUCACACCUUUGAACACUUCAGUGGGCUCAUUUUAUGUGUGAAUUUUUAGCCUAAUUGUGAACUGUUGAGUUAUUUAAACCUUCGCACCCAAACUUCCUUGGUCCAGAGAGGAUUUGAAGCUCAUACAUAAACAACACAGCAGCAUUGCAAAUCAAGGAAUGGAGGAGACGGUGAAGCCAUGACAACAGAAGACCCUGAGGUGGAGAAG
rnacentral:lncRNA from 10 species